rnacentral:antisense_RNA from 1 species
GGAGAAUGCGCGGGUCGAGUGCUGUAGUUCGAUAUUUGCGUGUGUGCGUUGCUUGCGGCCUUUGUGCCUUUUUAUUCUUUGCUUACCUUUAUGAUAUAAAGACCUUAUUUCUUACAAGGAGGAAAAGACCGCUGACUUCAGAAACAGCGGGAACUCCAGCUCGUCCCCGGUAAUUCAAGAGGAAACGCUUGAGCAAUUACUGAUGUUGUAAACUGGGAUCAGAAGACAUACAUGGUAUCGUAUCCCAGGCAAGGCACAGUGGCUCACACCUGUAAUCCCAGCACUUUGGGAGGCUGAAGAAGGCAGAUCACUUGAGGUCAGGAGUUCGAGACCAGCCUGGCUUACAUGGUGAAACCCAUCUCUACUGAACAUACAAAAAUUAGCUGGACAUGGUGGUUAGCUGCACCUCUACUCCACGUGGUCCUCCCUUCAGGUCCCAGGCUGAUGGAGUAGCCUCUGUGUGUUUGGGAUGUUGUCAGUCAUAAUGGUGGACACAAAAGAGAUUAUGACAAACCGUGUAUUGUCUCCUACAAUUUCUGCUCACAGAAGUGGACAACAUCACUUCUUUCCACAUUUCAUUGACCAGAGCAAGUCAUGUGACCAAGCCUGAUUCAAAAUAGGCUGGAGCAAGGAGGAGCAGCAAACAUAACAUUCUCAGUUUACAGCUGAGGAAACUAAGCUUCAAGUUGCCCAAGUUUAUAGAAUGAGUCAAUGGCAGAGGUUGAACUCAGAUGACAAAAUUGGGGUCUGGACAUGUGCAAGGACUUUUCCGAAGUCAGCUGGAAAGGAGCUGCUUAGCUGAGAGGUUCUGGCUCCAAAGUCUCCUGUGAAGUUGCAGUCAAGAUGUCUGCUGGGACCCCAGUCAUUUGAAGCCCUGUCUGGGGCAGGAGAAUCUAGGUCCAAAAUGGCCGUUGCAGGAGUCCUUAUCCACACCAUGUGGGGCCUCUUCAUAGAUGUUCGAGUGUCCUCAUGGCAUGGCCACUGGCUUUCCCCAAAGUAAGCAGUCCAAAAGAGGGUAAGACAGAGCCCACACUGUCUUUUAUGAAUUAGCCUUGGAAGUCUAACACGGUUACUUCCACCACAUUCAUUAGUCGUUAGGUACAGCUCACAUUCAUGGGGAGGAAAAUCAGGGCCUGUCUUUAGAUAGGAGAUGUAUCAAAGAAUUUGUGGACAUAUUUUAAAAUCACAGCACUACUCUUGAUGUACUAAGUCAGUGACUCCCCCAGGAGUCUCACAGAGAAUUGACUCCUUGCCCACCUAUACUACCUUUGUGGGUAGAGACUCCAGUAGUGUGCUGGUUAAUGUUCAACCAGUGGCUUUCUAGAAAACAAAAUGUAUGGAUACAUAUAUAUGUUCUAAGUUUUACUGAUAUGAAGAAUGUGUAGCACAGAAUUUAUAAAUAAUAAAAUAUACAGUAUUAUUUAUUGUAAAUUCCAUAAAACCUGUUGUUUUUCACAAAAGGUUUUAGUUUAUUUUUCCCAAAUGCUUGUAUCGGUAACAUUUUCUGUAUUACUUUUUUAUGUCCAGACAAUCAACAAAACUGAAAAAGCCCAGCCUUGUAGCAUUUGCCAGUUACUGUGUAAAUGUCCCCACUAUGGUGGAUUUCAGGUUACCACUAUGAUAUCACAGAAUGCAGAAUUGGAAGGAGAUUCACAGCAGCACCCCAUUAUACUAUAUUUUCACCAUACAGAUGCAGUCGAUGUAAAUUACCUGAGGAGCAUAAAUAAUAAUAAAAUGAAGUUAAAUAAUUCGGAAA